rnacentral:rRNA from 1 species
GCUUACGGCCAUACCAACCUGGUAUCCCGAUCUCGUCUGAUCUCGGAAGCUAAGCAGGUUUGGGCCUGGUUAGUACUUGGAUGGGAGACCGCCUGGGAAUACAAGGUGCUGCAAGCU